AAACCUAAGGAGGCAUUGAAGCUAGUACAUCUGAGUUUAUAAAUUCUAAAGCCACCAAAGGAACAACCUCUAACCAAACAAAAUCCGAAUAGGUAGAGGCAUUCCUAACUAGAAAAUCGGCUACAAAAUUGCCAUUGCGCGUACAAAAGUUAAGUCUACAAAAUCAAAAGAACUAGAAAGCAAAAAAAAUUCACGAAGCAAAAAAGCUAGAUAAGAGUUCCCAUAUGGUGGUUUCUUCCAACGCUGGAACACUUGCAAACAAUCGGUCUCAAAACACACCUUCCAGAAGCCCAAUUGAGACGCUACCAUCAUGGACCAAGGAAGAGUCAUGCACUCGGCUACCACCAGGGAUAGAACGUGCAAGGGAUGAGUUGAUGCUGAAGCCAACACCUCACCCUUCCAGUUGCGAAUCACCAACCCAAAGCAACAAUUUUAUCCACUGACAGAGGCUUCAAAGUUCAGCUUUACCACACCGCUCCUGGGUUUGCUUCAUGUCGAAACUGAGGUUGCCACUGUGGGUUGAGCGGGCAGUUCCUGCACUAGACUAGACAUCAGCGAAGAGAGCCUAUGAAUCGUGACCUCUGGUACAAAAUUCCAGGACUGGAACGUUGCUCUAUUGCGAGCUUCCCAAAGAAAAUACACCCUUGUCUACCACUGUGCAAUAGCUAGAGCAUCACGCAAGGCUAGGAAGUGGUCCAAGAAAUCUGCCAGUGUUGCAAACGGGUAGUAACUAUGUAUUUUCUAGCAAUAGAUGUACCAGAGCGACCAAGGUCCAAGUUCCAGCUCAAAAUUUCGCCAAGAGAAGGUUACUCGACACCACCUCGUCAAAGGAAGGUUUAUCGACACUAGUCGAGAUUUGGCCAAGGAGGCACCCAUGAAAAACGCUAAGUUAAAUGGCAAUAAGCCAUAACUAUGAAUUUCGACCACAAAAGGGAGUGGCAGCUGAACGCACAAAGCGGUUACAGAAAGAGUGGGCAGUUGAGAGCGGUUAAGUGCACACCUUCCCCCACGAUGCAAAUGAGCAGUUAGAAAUGCAUGCCUUCCCCCACGAUGCAAGAAGCUUCCAGAAUCCCCCACGAUGCAAGAAACUUCCGGAACAAGCAGGAGAUCAUGGAGCGUAGCACCAAUUCUCAGGCCCACUAACUCACAUAGCAGAGGGAAUAACUGCCAAGAAUGUGUGAGAGGAAAACUGCCAAGGACAUGUGAAGCAAUGAAGCACUAUAAAUAGGAGAAGAUCAUUCAGAAAAAGGGUUCCAACUUGACUCUAAAAAAUUACUAAAAAGCUCACAUGUCCGCAUCAAAGAGACUUCAAGAGCCUAACGUGAUGAUGAACAAGUAUGUUGCAGAACCAAAGAUUUAUGAUUCAUGCCUUGGCGCUUUGCUUUGUAUUUAAGUUUAGUUUGAUAUCAUGUCGAGUUCUUUGCUUAAUGUAACUUUUGCUUUUCAAAUUUCCCUUUUGUAUUCUGUACUUGUUUAAGUUCAAUGCAAUUCGAGUUUUAUUUCUUUUGAA